UACGUAGGGUGCGAGCGUUAAUCGGAAUUACUGGGCGUAAAGGGUGCGCAGGCGGUUCUGCAAGUCAGGCGUGAAAGCCCCGGGCUUAACCUGGGAAUGGCGCUUGAAACUACAGGACUGGAGUAUGGCAGAGGGAGGUGGAAUUCCACGUGUAGCGGUGAAAUGCGUAGAGAUGUGGAGGAACACCGAUGCCGAAGGCAGCCUCCUGGGCCAAUACUGACGCUCAUGCACGAAAGCGUGGGGAGCAAACAGG
rnacentral:rRNA from 1 species